CGGUUGAUCCUGCCGGACUGACUGCUAUCUGAUUGGCACUAAGCCAUGCGAGUCGUUGUAGCAAUACAUGGCGGACUGCUCAGUAUCACAUAGUUAACUUAACCUAUGGAUGGGCAUAACCUCGGGAAACUGAGAAUAAUACCCAAUGGACCACAGUGCCUGGAAUGGCCUGUGGUUGAAAUGAUUUAUCGCCGUAGGAUAGGACUGCGGCCUAUCAGCUUGUUGGUGAGGUAAUGGCCCACCAAGGCUAUAACAGGUACGGGCUCUGAGAGGAGGGGCUCGGAGAUGGGUACUGAGACACGGACCCAGGCCCUAUGGGGCGCAGCAGGCGAGAAACCUUUGCAAUGCGCGAAAGCACGACAAGGUUAAUCCGAGUGUCUCCUGCUAAAGGAGUCUUUUGUCAGUUGUAGAAUCACUGGUGAAUAAGGGGUGGGCAAGUUCUGGUGUCAGCCGCCGCGGUAAAACCAGCACCUCGAGUGGUCAGGAGGUUUAUUGGGCCUAAAGCAUCCGUAGCCGGUUGCAUAAGUUUUCGGUUAAAUCUAUGCGCUUAACGUAUAGGCCGCCGAAAAUACUGUGCAGCUAGGGAGUGGGAGAGGUACACGGUACUCGAUACGACGGGGUAAAAUCUUUGAUCUAUUCGAGACACUGUGGCGAAGGCGUGUACAGAACCGUUCGCGGGAAGAUGAAGUGGGGA
rnacentral:rRNA from 1 species